GACGAACGCUGGCGGCGUGCUUAACACAUGCAAGUCGUACGGUAAGGCCCUUUCGGGGGUGCACGAUUGGCUAACGGGUGAGUAACACGCAAGUAACCUGCCUACAACUGAGGUAUAACGCUAGUAAACUGGUUCUAAUACUGGAUAGGUGGUCCUGCUGCAUGGUGGGGGUUGGAAAGCUCCGGCGGUUGUGGAUGGAAGGGCCGCCUAGCCGCUUGCUGGUUGGGUAGUGGGCUACCAAGGCGGCGGCGGGUAGGCGGCCGGAGGGGGGGGACGGCCCACUUGGGGCUGAGGUACGGGCCCGACCCCUACCGGGGGGCACCGUUGGGAAUUUUGCCCCAUUGGGCCGAGCCUGAUGCAGCCACGCCCCGUGCGGGAUGACCGCCUUCCGGUUGUAAACCGCUUUCAGCAGGGACGAAGCUUUUUGUGACGGUACCUGCAGAAGAAGCACCGGCUAACUACGUG
rnacentral:rRNA from 1 species